rnacentral:rRNA from 1 species
UACGGAGGGUGCAAGCGUUGUCCGGAUUUAUUGGGUUUAAAGGGUGCGUAGGCGGUCUUUUAAGUCAGCGGUGAAAGCCUCCAGCUUAACUGGAGAAAUGCCAUUGAUACUGGAAGACUUGAGUACAGACGAGGUAGGCGGAAUUGACGGUGUAGCGGUGAAAUGCAUAGAUAUUGUCAAGAACACCGAUUGCGAAGGCAGCUUACUAGACUGUAACUGACGCUGAGGCACGAAAGUGUGGGGAUCAAACAGG